rnacentral:tRNA from 1 species
UGGGAGAUCGUCUAACGGCAGGACAGCGGCCUUUGAAGCCGUGAAUUAUGGUUCGAAUCCAUAUCUCCCAG